GGAGAAGUACCCAAGUGGCCGAAGGGGCUCCCCUGCUAAGGGAGUAGGAUGGGGUAACUGUCGCGAGAGUUCAAAUCUCUCCUUCUCCGCCA
rnacentral:tRNA from 1 species